rnacentral:rRNA from 1 species
GGAAGAAUAAGUAGGGGACAAUACCCCCUAUGAUGACGGUACCGUUUGUAAGCUCCGGCUAACUCCGUGCCAGCAGCCGCGGUAAUACGGGGGGAGCAAGCGUUGUUCGGAUUUACUGGGCGUAAAGGGCGCGUAGGCGGUCAGCACAUGUCAGUUGUGAAAUCUCCGAGCUUAACUCGGAAAGGUCAACUGAUACUGUGCGACUAGAGUGCAGAAGGGGCAACUGGAAUUCUUGGUGUAGCGGUGAAAUGCGUAGAUAUCAAGAGGAACACCUGCGGCGAAGGCGGGUUGCUGGGCUGACACUGACGCUGAGGCGCGAAAGCUAGGGGAGCGAACGGGAUUAGAUACCCCGGUAGUCCUAGCCUUAGACGAUGAAUGCUUGGUGUCUGGGGUUAUAAAGUCCCCGGGUGCCGUCGCUGACGCUUUAAGCAUUCCGCCUGGGGAGUACGGUCGCAAGACUGAAACUUAAAGGAAUUGACGG